rnacentral:miRNA from 1 species
AAAUGCAUCCCCAGGGAUCUUGUUAAAGCGCAGAUUCUGAUUCAUUCCCUAGGUGGGGUGGAGGAUUUGAGUGUCUGAAUUUCUAACAAGUUCCCAGGUAAUGAAGUU